UGUUUCCUUGUUGUUGAUGCGGCUGUAGCAAUGUGUUUGUACCCUUAUGUUAUGUCCUUUAUCGAUAAAUUGUUUGUAAUCCCAUCACCAACCAUACGAAACCAAAACGUCAAAAACUUCUAGAAAGAAAAUUAAUUGUGGUUCUGGUGAUGGGAGUGUGAGGAGCGCACAAAAGCGAAAUAAAGCACACACACCACACAAUUCACGCCAGAUAUACGCCUAAUUGACGUGAGCUUUUAUUUGACCUCCUCGGGCCAGGACACAAUUC